rnacentral:rRNA from 1 species
UUUUGGACAAUGGACGAAAGUUUGAUCCAGCAAUGCCGCGUGCAGGACGAAGGCCUUCGGGUUGUAAAACGUUUUUGUACGGAACGAAAAAAUCUUUUUUAAUAAAGAGGGCUUAUGACGGUACCGUAAGAAUAAGCACCGGCUAACUACGUGCCAGCAGCCGCGGUAAUACGUAGGGGGCGAGCGUUAAUCGGAAUUACUGGGCGUAAAGCGUCCGCAGGCGGUUUUAUAAGUCAGAUGUGAAAUCCCUGGGCUCAACCUCGGACCUGCAUUUGUGACUGUAUAGCUAGAGUACGGCAGAGGGGGAUGGAAUUCCGCGUGUAGCAGGAAAUGCGUAGAUAUGCGGAGGAACCACCCGAUGGCGAAGGCAAUCUCCCUGGAACGGUACUGACGCUGCAUACACGA